UCAUGUCAGCAGAAGUCUCUAAAAUUAGAACCACACAGAGGAGAUAAGCAUGGCCCCAGCACAAGGUGACACACUAAUCUGUAAAACAUUCUGUU
ensembl:snRNA U6 U6 spliceosomal RNA